rnacentral:rRNA from 1 species
GAGAUUUGGGAGUGCUCGAAAGAGAACCAUCACACAGGUGCUGCAUGGCUGUCGUCAGCUCGUGUCGUGAGAUGUUGGGUUAAGUCCCGCAACGAGCGCAACCCUUGUCAUUAGUUGCUACGAAAGGGCACUCUAAUGAGACUGCCGGUGACAAACCGGAGGAAGGUGGGGAUGACGUCAAGUCCUCAUGGCCCUUAUGGGUAGGGCUUCACACGUCAUACAAUGGUACAUACAGAGGGCCGCCAACCCGCGAGGGGGAGCUAAUCCCAGAAAGUGUAUCGUAGUCCGGAUUGGAGUCUGCAACUCGACUCCAUGAAGUUGGAAUCGCUAGUAAUCGCGGAUCAGCAUGUCGCGGUGAAUACGUUCCCGGGUCUUGUACACACCG